AUUGAACGCUGGCGGCAGGCCUAACACAUGCAAGUCGAGCGGAUGAAGGGAGCUUGCUCCUGGAUUCAGCGGCGGACGGGUGAGUAAUGCCUAGGAAUCUGCCUGGUCGUGGGGGAUAACGUCCGGAAACGGGCGCUAAUACCGCAUACGUCCUGAGGGAGAAAGUGGGGGAUCUUCGGACCUCACGCUAUCUGAUGAGCCUAGGUUGGAUUAGCUAGUUGGUGGGGUAACGGCCUACCAAGGCGACGAUCCGUAACUGGUCUGAGAGGAUGAUCAGUCACACGGGAACUGAGACACGGUCCAGACUCCGACGGGAGGCAGCAGUGGGGAAUAUUGGACAAUGGGCGAAAGCCUGAUCCAGCCAUGCCGCGUGUGUGAAGAAGGUCUUCGGAUGGGAAAGCACUUUAAGUUGGGAGGAAGGGCAGUAAGUUAAUACCUUGCUGUUUUGACGUUACCAACAGAAUAAGCACCGGCUAACUUCGUG
rnacentral:rRNA from 1 species